UUAGAGGAAGUAAAAGUCGUAACAAGGUUUCCGUAGGUGAACCUGCGGAAGGAUCAUUAUCGUACAAAAUGUGUGAGGCGCGUGAGGGCUGUCGCUGACUUUUUAACACAAAAGUCGUGCACGCCGGAGCGCGUCCUCUCGCAUAAAAUCCAUCUCACCCUUUUGUGCACCACCGCGUGGGCACCCUUUGGGAUCGAACCGAUCCAGGAGGGUGCUUGCGUUUUCACACAAACCCCCUUUAAAAAGUGUAGAAUGUCCCCAUUUUGCGAUGACACGCAAUCAAUACAACUUUCAACAACGGAUCUCUUGGCUCUCGCAUCGAUGAAGAACGCAGCGAAAUGCGAUACGUAAUGUGAAUUGCAGAAUUCAGUGAAUCAUCGAAUCUUUGAACGCACCUUGCGCCCCUUGGUAUUCCGAGGGGCACACCCGUUUGAGUGUCGUGAAAAUCUCAACCUUCUCGGUCUCCUUCUGGACACCGAAGGAGGCUUGGACUCUGGAGGCCUUUGCUGGCGUCUCUCUCUUUUUGAGAGCCAGCUCCUCUUAAACGAAUUAGCGGGGUCCUCUUUGCCGAUCCUCGACAUGUGAUAAGAUGUUUCCGUGUCUUGGUUUCUGGCUCUGUUGCCUUUGGGACCCGCUUCUAACCGUCUCAACGAGACGACGUUUGGGCGUGUCUCCCUUCUCGGGAAACUCUCUCAACCCCACGAACCCUUGACCUCAAAUCGGGUGAGACUACCCGCUGAACUUAAGCAUAUCAAUA
rnacentral:rRNA from 1 species